GGUCUCAAGCAGCUGUCUCCACCGUCUUGUAAGGUCGAUCUCCGGUGGAAUAAGUGCUUCCUCGCCUUCAACAAAAUGGAGGUGAGAUCGAUUUUCUUGUCAGGUGCCUACUAUGUGGACGUUUUGUACAUUUUUGCUACACUGUGUGCUAAUGAGUUUGCUAAUUUCGACAUAUCUGCUACAUUUCUUGGUUGCAAUGUUCUCACCUGCUUUCAAAUGCAGGAUAAUCUGCUUUCAGUUGCAUGAAUUUUGUGUUGUUUGUUUGUUCAUGUUCUACUUAUGCUUGUUGUGCUACAGUUUAGCAAAAUAUGCUUCUAUUUUUGUUCAAUUUAUACUUAUGCUGCUAUGUCUGCUGCUAUAUAUGUUCAUGUUGUUUCUGUCCAAUACAUCCCCAUGUUUUUGAUGCUUUUGUCUAGCACUAUCUGCAUUUUUUAUUGUUUCUAUGAAAAAAUUAACUAUUAUAGGUUUCCUUUGUAUGCUGCAUUUGUGUUUUUAAGAUAUGUGUUUUACUUGUCUAUGUUUUUUUGGUUUGGUUUCUGCGGGGUGGUACCAAGGUGCCGGGUAUUAUUUGCUCGAAGCAGCCUUCGAAGUCCACUUCGAAGGAUCGUUUUACUGCGAAGCGUUUGCGUGCUAUUGCUGGCAAGAUGGAUUCAGACAAGAGAGAAAUCAUUGAACAGAAGAGUGCCUUUAGAUGUUGUUGAAUGUGUCGCCUUUCAACAUACCCAAUGAGUUAAUUGACUAUGUUGCCCAGCAUACAUCCCCUGCUUUGCGUGAGUUCAAGGUUGGGAAGAAUCGGAUUGUGUUUACAAAAGAUAUGGUCACCAAGGUGUUUGGGAUAGUUUUGGGAUGCAAACCAGUUGUUCCUUUGAAGAGGAGUGAGCAAAGCAAUCUUCGUGAUGUCUACAGAGGUUCCAAUCCCAGACCAGAUAUACCCACAACCAUAAAGAUCCUUAGAGAAUGUGAUAUAACAGAUGAAGAAAGUAUAGUUAGGUCCUGGGACCUUCUCUGCAUGGCUAAUCUUGUCGACCCAACGAGCAGCAAUCAUGUCAGCAUGGACUACUUGGGUAGCAUGUCUGAUCCAUCCAAAACUCAUGAGUAUGCGUGGGACGAAUACAUCCUGGAUUUGUCUAUGAAAGAAGUGAAUAAGAUGCACAAGAAGCGGGUGAAGCCUUUGGCUUUCAAGGGAGAAGGGUCAAAGUUUGAGUACUGGAAUUUCUGGACCGUUUGCUAUUCUUGGGGUAUGGUUCCUUUUUUGCAGUACUGGGUUUUAUGUACUUUUCUAUUUAGUUAUUUGUAUUUGGUGUCUAACUUUUACUUUUUCUUUGGUUUGCUGUUUUGUCGCAUAUUGUGUACAUGGAUCAUGUCGAGUUCCCUCCAAAUAAUCAUGUAAUGGACUACUCCCUACCAAGAGUUUGUCAUGUAAAAUGCAGUGACUUUGAGUUUGCAGUUGUAAACGACCUUGAUAGGUUGAGUCUGAAUAACAAGAAAGUUUUUGGGAGGCGUCCGUUUCUUGAUUUUGCGAAAACACCAUACAAUGUUGUUGCAUCAGAACCUAUCGAUGUCCCUGAAGUUAACCCAUCAGCUUCUCUGAAUGAAUGGAUUGUUUUCCCUAGCAGGCCAGGAACUUGAGGUACCAGAUCGCUACAAACAUUUGCAUGAGAAGCACAAGGCCAUUUUCGCUGCUGAUGUAGAUGUAGCAACGAAGAACCUUGCUAUAUGUUUGAAACCCGGACAUCUUGCUAGAUCAAAUACAAGCAGACUUGUUGUUU